AAUUCUCAACUCCGAUCGAUUUGUUUUGAUCCCGGAGCUUGGAUGUGGAGUGUGCCGGCGUGAGUCGGCUCCUCUCAAAUGCAUCAGCGGAAAUUCAACCUUUGGUUUCUGGAUGUCAGUGUGAUAAUCAUGUUGCGCUGUCGUUCGAACCUCGGAGUCCGGCUUACAAUGGUCUUCGGACAAACCUCAUCGUCA
rnacentral:misc_RNA from 1 species